CUCGGUUCUGAUAAGCAAACAAAUACAUAGUUUCUGGUAAAAUUAUCGCCCGAAAAAUUCAACAAUUCCUUAAAAUAAUAUUGCAAAGCAAUAACAAUAAUAAUAAUGUAUCUGCAAAUGUUAUCCUUUAAAGUAUUAGUGGAACCGGAACAAAGAACUUAAAAAGAUCAUUAACUGAUAAAUAUCACGAAAUGCUUUUCAUAAAAACAAUUUGCUCAUCGGAGGCGGCAUAAAGCUAUUCUGUGGAAUAACCUCAAGCCACACAGCACAAGUUGUAGGAGAAGCUCAGCGUCUACAAAACUACACAAAUGGGCAGAUAAAUAAGAGCAUACCAUAUUUCAACACAAAUCACUUUGAAUAUCCAAUAUAGAUCAACUGUUUGAAAAUCAGUUAGUUUUAUACCGUGCUGCAGCAGUUUCAUUUGAAAUGGCUGUAACUAUUAGUGAAGUAGUUGUGUUUGUUCUUUAACUUAAGGUAUGUCAAGCUCCAGAAUGCAUAUUUGUAGAGCAACCAUGAGACAAGUGCCAAAAAUUGGGGGAGAAGAAGUUCGCUCUAAUCCUUUCAAAUUUUGUGGAUACGCUACACUAUUAAUUAUUUAAUCCUUGUAUGAAUAUAUAGUAUAGUUUUAUAAAAAAUAAGUCAAUUACCUUUGCU